GACGAACGCUGGCGGCGUGCUUAACACAUGCAAGUCGAACGGAAAGGCCCUGCUUUUGUGGGGUGCUCGAGUGGCGAACGGGUGAGUAACACGUGAGUAACCUGCCCUUGACUUUGGGAUAACUUCAGGAAACUGGGGCUAAUACCGGAUAGGAGCUCCUGCUGCAUGGUGGGGGUUGGAAAGUUUCGGCGGUUGGGGAUGGACUCGCGGCUUAUCAGCUUGUUGGUGGGGUAGUGGCUUACCAAGGCUUUGACGGGUAGCCGGCCUGAGAGGGUGACCGGCCACAUUGGGACUGAGAUACGGCCCAGACUGCUACGGGAGGCAGCAGUGGGGAAUAUUGCACAAUGGGCGGAAGCCUGAUGCAGCAACGCCGCGUGCGGGAUGAUGGCUUUCGGGUUGUAAACCGCUUUCGCCUGUGACGAAGCGUGAGUGACGGUAAUGGGUAAAGAAGCACCGGCUAACUACGUG
rnacentral:rRNA from 1 species